CACACACUGUGAAGCUGUUAUUUUCUAACCUGUGUGAUUCACACAGGUUAGAAAAUGAUGGAUUCACUGUGUGUG